GUUCUCCCUGAGUCCAUCUCACAGUUGCAGAGAAUUAAAGGGAUGGUGUGCUUAAAGAAAAAUGAUGUAGCACCUGGAGCUGCCAUCAGAAGGAUAACACUUGAAGAGGCAAAAAAAAAACAGGGAAAGUUUUCAUUUUGUAUGUUCUUGCACUUUCUCUCCAUAUACUCCGAACAAUGCCAGCUACAGCAUUAAGCUUAGUUCAGUCUAACCCGUCAUGAACGUUACAUAUUAGACAGACAUGGUUGCUGUCUCCCCCCCCCCCCCCGUCAUAGAACGUAAUAGUACAGUAGGAACCCAGAACAUAAAAGAGGGGCCCUGAUGGCCGUGAGGCCCUAAGCAGCCACAUAUGUUGAUUAUUAGGUAGAGCCAGCACUGUCUACAUUUUUAUUUCUUUGUUCUCCAAAAUAUAUUCCUUUCAUACCUCCAA